rnacentral:lncRNA from 1 species
UCGGCCCAAAUUUAUCAUCUUCAACAUUACACAGUUCGAGCCCCAUUUACAAUACAACACAUUUCUAAUAUAGGCUAACAGAAUUACUUUAUCUGUAUUACUACACGACUAGAUGUAUGUAAAUUCUACAACUGCAGAGUCACUAACUGUUUGUUAUACAUAGCUUCUUAUACAUAUAGUUACAUAGCAAAAUAAUUAUGAAACUAGGAAAACUUCUUAAUAGCCUGCGGCGAAGAAACAUCGCUUAAACCGAAUUAAAGAGAAACUUACUUCUUGAAAAAUUUAAACAGAACAUGUGAGUUUUCUAAGGAGUAAUAGUUAUUGCACAACACACGCAGUCACACAAAUGUGUAAACAUAUCAAUCUAGUCAUCCGACUAGUUAUAUGCUCACGCAGCCAGUCACACAAAUGGCAUGUCACCAGCACUCACAAACAAUAUCACCUUCAAAUAAUCACAUCACGUGGAAAUUAGUCAGUGGAGUCACCGAACCCCCGAUGAGCCGUCCUCCCACAUGGCUCAUCCUCUCACAUGUGCACCAGGGAGCCGAUCCCCCAUACUGGUCGAUCGGUCUAAUCCUCACUUGACCAGCCCUUUCAUUGUUUUUCCAUUAUCUCUUUUCUUUUCCAUACCAACAGGAGGCAACCCGGUCGUCUCCAUCAAAUCUAGAUCAUCAGGCGCUCACAACAGGAGGCCACCCUGCGGGCUACAAUCAAAUCUAGAUUAUCAGGUGCGCAACAACAAGAAGCCAUCCUGUGGUUUUNNNNNNNNNNAUCAUAAUUAGGAUCCAUGCUUUAUCGACCGUCCUCACAAACCCAUGGUGACCCACUUCAUCCCAAUUCCACACAAACAAAGCAAGGCAUUGUCACAUCACAACUAAUCAAGCAUUGCAAUUAAAUGCAGACAUAUUGAACAGUUAAACAUCAGAAUGCAAUGCACAAUUAGGCAUUCAUACUCAAAUGCAAAUAAAUAAAUAAUAUUAACAAUAAACAACAAUGAUAGAAUAAAUAACAAUAAUAAUAAUAAUAAUAAUAAACAAUAAUAAUGAAAAUAAAUAAGUAAUUGAAUAAUUAAAUAAAUAAUGAUGAUAGUAAAAUAAUUAGAGCACUUUAUUUACUAUGUAUUAAGUUAUAGAAUUAUUCUAAAUAAACUUAUUAAUUAUAUUGUUAAUUAAAACUAGUCUAAGUUCUAUCGGAAUUUCGGCAGCACCUCCCCUGAAAAUUGGACUAUCUACCUGCUCAAAUAUCACAAUAUUAUAUAUAUUUAUCAAUUAAUGCACACAGCCCAUCUGUCGGGCAAUCAACAAUUUAAAAUCCCAUCCUCCUUCCAAAAACAACAAUAUCAACACUCAACCAUUAAUUUACAACAAUCAUGCUCCAAUGGUAAUAGCAAUCAUUCUUUACUUCAUAUAAUUAUAACUAGCUUCAAUAGCUAAUUACCAAACAAAUGAAGGCUUUAAUACAUAUAUAAUCCAAUAAAACUUAUAUCAUUAAGUUAAUUUCAAUUGUUUUCAGUUGGUAGUUUCUUAGUAUCUAACUAUGAUAGUAUUCUUUAGCAAGCUUUCAUUUCUUCAUUCUUGCUUAAAGAUAUUAACCACAUUUAUAUCUUUGUUAAAUUUUAUAUUAGCCAAUAAGAACAAAUGGAUUAGUUUAUCUAAAGCUCCUCAAUUAUUCAAAAUAGUUGUUGUUCAUGACAAUAGGUCAUUCUCAACCUAGCUUAUAUAUAAUAUAUGAAUCAAUUCAUUCAAAUUCAAUUUAAUUGACUAAUGAUUACUAAGUUUAGAAUUUAUACCGAAAAUAGGAAAUUAAUCUUAGAACGUACCAAUUGAAAUUUGGGUGACGAUUCCACGAUCAGCGUGAAGAAAAGAGAAUUCUGCCUCUCAGGGCCUCGCCGGAGUGUCGCCGGCCGGUCACCGGACGGUGGCUGGAAAGUGAUUUACUGGUCGAAAUUCCCAAAAUUCACACCAAAGCGCUCGAAAUGUUACAAGGAGCUCAAAUCCACUGUUUGUUUAUGAGAUUGGCGAGCCAACUAGCUGGACUCGGGCUCCACAGCCACUGCAUCUCGCCUGAGCUGUAGCAAUCGCAGGAGUCGCGAACGGAGAGAGGCGUGACGUCGAGCACGAUCAGUGGCUGGGAUCGACGGCGCCUGAGCCGUGGCUGUGCUGCUGCAUCCAAUCGAACGAAAAUAGAGGGAGAGGAGAGCUAAGGCACGACGGUGAAGGGUAGCGGCGCAACCGUUGUGUUUGUCGCAGGCGACCGGUAACCACGACAGAGAAGGAGAGAGGCGAGCGGUGAACGCUGUCGAAGUUUAUGGCCGGUGGCCGGAAAACGAGAAAGAGAGGGAGAAGGGACUGCCGCUCACCUGAAAAACGAAGGAAAGAAGAAGAAGAGAGGAAGAAAAAGAAAUUACGUCGGUUUCUAGAUCAUUCCGGUUCGAUUCGAAUCGGGUUGGUCUGAUUCAACGAUUUGGCUCGAUUCUUGCUCGGUUUGCAGGUUUUUCACUUGGUUUUCGGAUUAUUUGUGUGGUUCUCGAUAAAUUAAACUGAUUUUCGGGUCUGGUUCAGUUUAUUUUAACUGUUUAGUUUGGUUCCGUAAUAUUUUUUCCAUUUACUCGGUAAUAAAAAUAUUAAUAGUAACA